rnacentral:tRNA from 1 species
GUGCCCUUAGCUUAACUGGUCAAAGCACCUUGCUCAUACCAAGGAGAUUGAAGGUUCGAGUCCUUCAGGGCACA